GAUGAACGCUGGCGGCGUGCCUAAUACAUGCAAGUCGAGCGAACGGACGAGAAGCUUGCUUCUCUGAUGUUAGCGGCGGACGGGUGAGUAACACGUGGAUAACCUACCUAUAAGACUGGGAUAACUUCGGGAAACCGGAGCUAAUACCGGAUAAUAUUUUGAACCGCAUGGUUCAAAAGUGAAAGACGGUCUUGCUGUCACUUAUAGGUGGAUCCGCGCUGCAUUAGCUAGUUGGUAAGGUAACGGCUUACCAAGGCAACGAUGCAUAGCCGACCUGAGAGGGUGAUCGGCCACACGGGAACUGAGACACGGUCCAGACUCCUACGGGAGGCAGCAGUAGGGAAUCUUCCGCAAUGGGCGAAAGCCUGACGGAGCAACGCCGCGUGAGUGAUGAAGGUCUUCGGAUCGUAAAACUCUGUUAUUAGGGAAGAACAUAUGUGUAAGUAACUGUGCACAUCUUGACGGUACCUAAUCAGAAAGCCACGGCUAACUACGUG
rnacentral:rRNA from 1 species